AGUGAACGCUGGCGGUAGGCCUAACACAUGCAAGUCGAACGGCAGCACAGUAAGAGCUUGCUCUUACGGGUGGCGAGUGGCGGACGGGUGAGGAAUACAUCGGAAUCUACUUUUUCGUGGGGGAUAACGUAGGGAAACUUACGCUAAUACCGCAUACGACCUACGGGUGAAAGCAGGGGAUCUUCGGACCUUGCGCGAUUGAAUGGGCCGAUGUCGGAUUAGCUAGUUGGCGGGGUAAAGGCCCGCCAAGGCGACGAUCCGUAGCUGGUCUGAGAGGAUGAUCAGCCACACUGGAACUGAGACACGGUCCAGACUCCUACGGGAGGCAGCAGUGGGGAAUAUUGGACAAUGGGCGCAAGCCUGAUCCAGCCAUACCGCGUGGGUGAAGAAGGCCUUCGGGUUGUAAAGCCCUUUUGUUGGGAAAGAAAAGCAGCAGGUUAAUACCCCGCUGUUCUGACGGUACCCAAAGAAUAAGCACCGGCUAACUUCGUG
rnacentral:rRNA from 1 species